AGUGAACGCUGGCGGUAGGCCUAACACAUGCAAGUCGAACGGCAGCACAGUAAGAGCUUGCUCUUACGGGUGGCGAGUGGCGGGCGGGUGAGGAAUACAUCGGAAUCUACUUUUUCGUGGGGGAUAACGUAGGGAAACUUACGCUAAUACCGCAUACGACCUACGGGUGAAAGCAGGGGAUCUUCGGACCUUGCGCGAUUGAAUGAGCCGAUGUCGGAUUAGCUAGUUGGCGGGGUAAAGGCCCACCAAGGCGACGAUCCGUAGCCGGUCUGAGAGGAUGAUCAGCCACACUGGAACUGAGACACGGUCCAGACUCCUACGGGAGGCAGCAGUGGGGAAUAUUGGACAAUGGGCGCAAGCCUGAUCCAGCCAUACCGCGUGGGUGAAGAAGGCCUUCGGGUUGUAAAGCCCUUUUGUUGGGAAAGAAAAGCAGCAGGUUAAUACCCCGCUGUUCUGACGGUACCCAAAGAAUAAGCACCGGCUAACUUCGUG
rnacentral:rRNA from 1 species